AGACCCACAGAGAAGUAGGGGAGAAAGUUGCUGGACUUCUCGGGGGCUCGCAACGGGCCACAGAAGACGAGACACGUUCCCUAUUUGCUUUUUCAAUACCACCAUUGGAUUUCUUUUCUGAGAAACAACUGAUGUUGAUUUCCCUUCCGGACCGGAGGUCUCUUUUUGCUUGUCAUUAACGCUUACACCUUGGGAGUUUAGAGCUACAUUAAGUAGAAGACUGUGGAAGUCUGCUGAAGACAGUGUUUUAAGAAUCCUACCAUCUGGGAGUAACACUUCCUGAAGCACAUACUUCCCCAGAUGCCGUGAGAUACCCCAAGAAAUGCCCCACUAGCUGGAAAACUGGCAUCACAGUCUCAGGACAGAAGCAUAUAAAAUACACAAUUUGAGAUUACGG